rnacentral:rRNA from 1 species
AACGAACGCUGGCGGCGUGCUUAACACAUGCAAGUCGAACGCGAAAGGGACUUCGGUCCUGAGUAAAGUGGCGCACGGGUGAGUAACGCGUAGAUAACCUGUCUUCAUGUCUGGAAUAAUACGCCGAAAGGGGUACUAAUACCGGAUAUCUUGCUUUUCAUAAGUUAUGCAAGCAAAGGUGGCCUCUGCAUAUGCUACUGCAUGAAGAGGGGUCUGCGUACCAUUAGCUAGUAGGUGGGGUAAUGGCCUACCUAGGCGACGAUGGUUAGCGGGUCUGAGAGGAUGAUCCGCCACACUGGCACUGGAACACGGGCCAGACUCCUACGGGAGGCAGCAGUGAGGAAUAUUGCGCAAUGGGGGAAACCCUGACGCAGCGACGCCGCGUGAGUGAGGAAAGGCCUUCGGGUCGUAAAGCUCUGUCAAGAGGAAAGAAGUGUACAAUGGCUAAUACCUGUUGUAUUCGACGGUACCUCUAAAGGAAGCACCGGCUAACUCCGUGCCAGCAGCUGC